GGGAUAAAAUUCAAAAAUCACAAAGGCACAAAACACAAAACACAAAAAAAAUAAGAGCACGAGAUCACGAAAAUUUAUCAAAACGUUAGAAUCUCAAAUGCUAAUUGAGUAUUUAAAUAAAAUAGAAAGUGAGAUUAGUACAGGCAAAAUUCUAAUUAUUGACAUUAAUGACUUCAUAAUAAUUUAUAGUCUUAAUAUUAUCUGAUUGAGUGGGGAAAUAUGUUUGUUUUUGCAGAAUUUAAAUAAGAAAGUUGCUAAUACUAUGUCAAGUGGAGUACAAAAAGAAUUUUAAAAUAUUAAUAAAGAAGUUACUAAAACUAUUUCGAGAGGAGUACGAAAAGAAUUUGAAAACCUUAACAAAAAAGAGGUUAAAGGCAACACUCUGGUUUUUUAUGAUGAGCAUGAUGACGAUGAUGAUGAUAUCCACGAUGUGAACAUUUUCGAUGAGGAUAAUCCAGAGCCAUGCAUCACAAGAUCACCUAGUGAAGACGAAACUAUUCUUGUUGAAGGUGGAAUAAAUAACUAUGUGCAAACUUUACCUUUGAAUUUAGAUAAGGAUAAUGAUGAAUAUAUAAAAUCAAUUCCUUAAAGUAAUGACGAUGAUAAAAUCUAUAUAUUAGAGGGUGGUAUAAAAAGUUAUGUGCAAACUAUACCACUAAAUAUAGAAGAAAGUAAGCACUUUUACAUUAAAUGGUAAUGAACCCAUUACAAACAUUAACUAUUUCCCACCUAUUGAACUAAGGAAUGGUGACUAUGAGUGUGCAGUCAUUGACUUUUAUAUGUACAAGUCUAAACCCAAUGUUUAUAUAAAUAAUAAUCUAUUUCAUAUUGGUGAACUCAAUGAUAUUAUGAUUUUCUAAAAAAUAAACUAUAAGAUUAUGAUCUUGAGAAAACAUUUCAAAUGGAAAGUAAUAAUAACAUACUUCAAGUUCAUAUUACAACUACCAAGGAACCUAUUUAUUUUUAUAAAAAGAACUCCAUUGGAAAAUUGCUUGGUUUCAAUAAAAAUAUAAUCUACCCCGACCUGAAAAAAUUAUAUAUAUUGGAUCAGCCUGUCAACAUUUUAAAAAUAAACACAAUACGCUUAGUAUGUAAUAUUGUGAGCGGAUCAUAUAUUGAUAGUAGACAAGAUCAUUCAUUAUACGAAUUUGGAAAUAAAGUUCCACCGGGCUAUAAAAUGAA